ensembl:snRNA U5 U5 spliceosomal RNA
AUUCUUGUUUCUCUUCGUAUCGCAUAAAUCUUUCCCCUUUUACUGAAGAUUACUGUGCAGGGGAACAACAAGAGUUAUGCUAAAUUUUAUUCUGUCUCAGUCCAAAAACACGACUGA